ACUGUGUAGGAUAGGUGGGAGGCUAUGAAGUGAGGACGCUAGUUCUCAUGGAGCCAUCCUUGAAAUACCACCCUGUUGUUAUUGAGGUUCUAACUUGGUCCCGUAAUCCGGGAUGAGGACAGUGUAUGAUGGGUAGUUUGACUGGGGCGGUCUCCUCCCAAAGAGUAACGGAGGAGCACAAAGGUACCCUCGGUACGGUCGGACAUCGUACCAAGAGUGUAAAGGCAUAAGGGUGCUUGACUGCGAGAGCGACGGCUCGAGCAGGUACGAAAGUAGGUCUUAGUGAUCCGGUGGUUCUGUAUGGAAGGGCCAUCGCUCAACGGAUAAAAGGUACUCCGGGGAUAACAGGCUGAUACCGCCCAAGAGUUCAUAUCGACGGCGGUGUUUGGCACCUCGAUGUCGGCUCAUCACAUCCUGGGGCUGAAGCAGGUCCCAAGGGUAUGGCUGUUCGCCAUUUAAAGUGGUACGCGAGCUGGGUUUAGAACGUCGUGAGACAGUUCGGUCCCUAUCUGCCGUGGGCGUAGGAAAAUUGAGAGGAGCUGCUCCUAGUACGAGAGGACCGGAGUGGACGAACCUCUGGUGUACCGGUUGUCACGCCAGUGGCAUUGCCGGGUAGCUAAGUUCGGACGGGAUAACCGCUGAAAGCAUCUAAGCGGGAAGCCUCCCUCAAGAUGAGUUUUCCCUUGAAGCCCGUUGAAGACUACGACGUUGAUAGGCAAGGUGUGGAAGCGCAGUAAUGUGUGAAGCUAACUUGUACUAAUUGGCUGAUUGUCUUGACCAUAUAAUCUGAG
rnacentral:rRNA from 1 species